rnacentral:rRNA from 1 species
UGAGGAAUAUUGCCCAAUGGACGCAAGUCUGAGGCAGCAACGCCGCGUGGGCGAUGAAGGCCUUCGGGUUGUAAAGCCCUUUUCUGGGGGACGAGGAAGGACGGUACCUCAGGAAUAAGUCACGGCUAACUACGUGCCAGCAGCCGCGGUAAUACGUAGGUGGCGAGCGUUAUCCGGAUUCACUGGGCGUAAAGCGCGUGCAGGCGGUUUCGUAAGUCGGACGUGAAAGCUCCUGGCUUAACUGGGAGAGGUCGUUCGAUACUGCGGGGCUUGAGGUCGGGAGAGGGACGUGGAAUUCCCGGUGUAGUGGUGGAAUGCGUAGAUAUCGGGAGGAACACCAGUGGCGAAGGCGACGUCCUGGCCCGCACCUGACGCUGAGACGCGAAAGCAUGGGUAGCAAACGGGAUUAGAUACCCCGGUAGUCCACGCUGUAAACGGUGGGUACUAGGUGUUGGUGGCUAUCGUCAUCAGUGCCGCAGCUAACGCGUUAAGUACCCAGCCUGGGGACUACGGCCGAC